ensembl:misc_RNA Metazoa_SRP Metazoan signal recognition particle RNA
GCUGGGCAUGGUGGCGCGUGCCUGUAAUCCCAGCUUCUCAGGAGGCUGAGGCAGGAGAAUUGCCUGAACCCAGGAAGCGGAGAUUGCAGUGAGCUGAGAUCACGCCACUGCACUCCAGCCUGGGUAACAAGAGCGAAACUCUGUCUCAA